GCUUCCAUAGCUCAGUCGGUAGAGUACUUCCAUGGUAAGGAAGAGGUCACCGGUUCAAUCCCGGUUGGGAGCU
rnacentral:tRNA from 1 species